AAUGGCUGAACCAGCAACUUGGAAGUUUGUAACGUAAAAAAAUUCUAUAUGAAUUUUUAUUAAAAUUUUUUCAUAUUAGGACUAGUUCUAAUAUGACGAGUAUUAAAAUUCUAGAUAAAUCAAUGAUUAAUGACAAUAUUUAUCUAUAAGCCUUGACUAAUCCUCGUGCCAGCAGUCGCGGCAACACGAGUAAGUCUAGUGUUAUUCAUCUUUAUUAGGUUUAAAGCGUACCUAGACGGUAUAUAAAAUUUAGAUAAAUACAAAUAUACUUGAGUUUUAUAUGGGAGGAAGAUAUGAGUAUUGUUAGAGUAGAGAUGAAAUCCAUUGAUCCUAAUAAGACUGAUAAAGGUGAAGGCGAACCUCUAUGUAAAANCUGACGUUGAGAAACGAAGGCUCGGGUCGUGAAAAGGAUUAGAUACCCUUGUAGUCCGGGCAGAAAAUAAUGAGUGCCAUAGGUCAUAUAACUAUUAGUGGUCUAUAAAUUAAAGUGUAAGCAUUCCACCUCAUGAGUAAAGCGGCAACGCCGGAAUUGAAAUCAUUAGACCGUUUCUGAAACCAGUAGUGAAGUAUGAUAUUUAAUUCGAUGAUCCACGAAAAACCUUACCAAGAUUUGAAUUACCUAUGAUUAGUUUUUAUUUUUAAAUAAUUCUAAGUUAAAUGUCUACAAGAAAUUGUAGGUUUUAGGGUUUAAAGUUAGCUUUAAACAAACAGGUGUUGCACGGCUGUCUUUAGUCAAUGUUCUGAGACUUUGUUAAAAUUGGUGAAAUCCCUUUCUCUAAUUAAUAUUAGGGAAUUCUAUUCAUUUU
rnacentral:rRNA from 1 species